rnacentral:rRNA from 1 species
UACGUAGGGCGCAAGCGUUAUCCGGAAUUAUUGGGCGUAAAGAGCUCGUAGGCGGUUUGUCGCGUCUGCCGUGAAAGUCCGGGGCUCAACUCCGGAUCUGCGGUGGGUACGGGCAGACUAGAGUGAUGUAGGGGAGACUGGAAUUCCUGGUGUAGCGGUGAAAUGCGCAGAUAUCAGGAGGAACACCGGUGGCGAAGGCGGGUCUCUGGGCCGAUACUGACGCUGAGGCGCGACAGCGUGGGGAGCAAACAGG